rnacentral:rRNA from 1 species
UAGGGAAUCUUCCGCAAUGGACGAAAGUCUGACGGAGCAACGCCGCGUGAGUGAAGAAGGAUUUCGGUUCGUAAAACUCUGUUGUUAGGGAAGAAAAAAUGUAUAGUAACUAUAUACAAAAGAGACGGUACCUAACCAGAACGCCACGGCUAACUACGUGCCAGCAGCCGCGGUAAUACGUAGGUGGCAAGCGUUGUCCGGAAUUAUUGGGCGUAAAGCGCGCGCAGGUGGUUUAGAAAGUCUGAUGUGAAAGCCCACGGCUCAACCGUGGAGGGUCAUUGGAAACUAAUAAACGAGAGUGCAGGAGAGAAAAGUGGAAUUCCUAGUGUAGCGGUGAAAUGCGUAGAGAUUAGGAGGAACACCGGUGGCGAAAGCGGCUUUUUGGCCUGCAACUGACACUGAGGCGCGAAAGCGUGGGGAGCAAACAGG